rnacentral:rRNA from 1 species
GGUGUUGGGGCGACUACGCGCGCCGUAGGCCCCGAAUUUCAGUGGCGGGCUCGCCGCGACCCCGAGCGUAGUAGCAUAAACUCGCUCCAGGGCGCGCCGCGGCGGGCGCCGGCCGUAAAAACAACCACACGAAACAAAGGUUGACCUCGGAUCAGGUAGGAAUACCCGCUGAACUUAAGCAUAUCAAUAAGCGGAGGAAAAGAAACCAACAGGGAUUGCCCCAGUAACGGCGAGUGAAGCGGCAACAGCUCAAAUUUGAAAUCUGGCCUCGGCCCGAGUUGUAAUUUGCAGAGGAUGCUUUUGGCGCGGCCCCUUCUGAGUCCCCUGGAACGGGGCGCCGGAGAGGGUGAGAGCCCCGUAUAGUAGGACGCCUAGCCUGUGUAAAGCUCCUUCGACGAGUCGAGUAGUUUGGGAAUGCUGCUCAAAACGGGAGGUAAAUUCCUUCUAAAGCUAAAUACCGGCCGGAGACCGAUAGCGCACAAGUAGAGUGAUCGAAAGAUGAAAAGCACUUUGAAAAGAGGGUCAAACAGCACGUGAAAUUGUUGAAAGGGAAGCGCUCGUGACCAGACUUGCGCCGGGGCGAUCAUCCGGUGUUCUCACCGGUGCACUCGCCCCGGCUCAGGCCAGCAUCGGUUUUCGCGGGGGGACAAAAGCCCGGGGAACGUGGCCCCUCCGGGGGCGUUAUAGCCCCGGGCACAAUACCCUCGCGGGGACCGAGGCCCGCGCAU